UACGAAGGGGGCUAGCGUUGCUCGGAAUCACUGGGCGUAAAGCGCACGUAGGCGGACUCUUAAGUCGGGGGUGAAAUCCUGGAGCUCAACUCCAGAACUGCCUUCGAUACUGGGAGUCUUGAGUUCGGGAGAGGUGAGUGGAACUGCGAGUGUAGAGGUGAAAUUCGUAGAUAUUCGCAAGAACACCAGUGGCGAAGGCGGCUCACUGGCCCGGUACUGACGCUGAGGUGCGAAAGCGUGGGGAGCAAACAGGG
rnacentral:rRNA from 1 species